UGGGUCAGGGAGGACAGGCUGUUGGAGAGUACAGUUUUUUUUCUCUCUCCCUCCCCCCCCUCCCCUAGAUGUCAUGUGUCAAGCAACACUCCACCACCCACCACCAGGACGUUACCUGUGCCAUUUCUCCCAUGGACUGAAAACUCCAAACCGACAGUCUUGGAAUACAGGCAUCAGCAUCCUAGGAAUGUGAUUCUGACGUCUUAGACGGAAUACCAGCCCCUCCUUUGUGAACACUGCUGUCCC
rnacentral:lncRNA from 1 species